UUCCGUUUUGCAACACUUCUGUGUUUCCAGCUGGUUUCCCUGGAUUCUCAUCUGAGCCCUGUAGAGAGAGGUUGUUUGCAGAGGCCGAGGGGACUGUUGUCAUGUGGGGCUCCGUGAAGCACAAGGGUUCAAGCAGCGCUGCCCGUUACCCACACAGCAAGAACCGUGUUAUUCUUCCUGCUGCAUUUCCACCAGCCAUUUCCUCCUGCAACCUGAAAAUCAUCCUGGCAUAGGAAGACAAGCUAAAGCUCCACAUCACUGAAGGAUUUGUGAUGAUGAAAAAGAAAAUGAAUUAAUAGAGUACAUUUUAUAUUAGUAACACCAAAUCUACCUGAGGGUACCAAUUCAUCCAUGCCUCAGAUAUUAGCAAAAAUAUGUUUUAAUUGAAAACAUAUUUGCCUUUCUUUCAGA